rnacentral:rRNA from 1 species
UACGUAGGUGGCAAGCGUUGUCCGGAUUUACUGGGCGUAAAGAGCGCGCAGGCGGCCGAGUAAGUCGAAUGUGAAAGCCCCCGGCUCAACUGGGGAGGGUCACGCGAUACUGAUCGACUCGAAGGCAGGAGAGGGUAGUGGAAUUCCCGGUGUAGUGGUGAAAUGCGCAGAUAUCGAGGAGGAACACCGGUAGGCGAAGGCGGAUCUGCUGGGCCGUAACUGACGCUGAGGAAGCGGAAAGGCAUGGGGAGCGAACAGG